rnacentral:misc_RNA from 1 species
GACAGAGGGGGCAAGCGUUGUCCGGAUUGACUGGGCGUACAGGGCGCGCAGGCGGCACUGUAGGUACCUGGUGACACGCGCACGCUUAACGUGCGCAGGUCUGGGUAAACCGCAGGGCUGGAGGCAGGGAGAGGGAAGUGGAAUACCCGGUGGAGCGGUGAAAUGCGUAGAGAUCGGGUGGAACACCAGGGGCGAAGGCGGCUUCCUGGCCCUGGCCUGACGCUGAGGCGCGAGAGCGUGGGGAGCAAACAGG